rnacentral:tRNA from 1 species
GGUCCGGUAGUUCAGCUGGUUAGAAUGCCUGCCUGUCACGUAGGAGGUCGCGGGUUCGAGUCCCGUCCGGACCG